UUCCUCGAGCCGGAUUUGAACCAGCGACCUAAGGAUCACCGUUGUAACAUCUACAGUUCUUCGCUCUGCCAACUGAGCUAUCGAGGGA
rnacentral:tRNA from 1 species